UACGGGGGGGGCAAGCGUUGUUCGGAAUUACUGGGCGUAAAGGGCGCGUAGGCGGCCUGCUAAGUCGGACGUGAAAUCCCCCGGCUCAACCGGGGAACUGCGUCCGAUACUGGUGGGCUCGAAUCCGGGAGAGGGAUGUGGAAUUCCAGGUGUAGCGGUGAAAUGCGUAGAUAUCUGGAGGAACACCGGUGGCGAAGGCGGCAUCCUGGACCGGCAUUGACGCUGAGGCGCGAAAGCCAGGGAGCAAAGCGGG
rnacentral:rRNA from 1 species